GAUGAACGCUGACAGAAUGCUUAACACAUGCCAGUCUACUUGAAUUUGGGUUUUUUAACUUAGAUUUGGGUGGCGGACGGGUGAGUAACGCGUAAAGAACUUGCCUCACAGCUAGGGACAACAUUUGGAAACGAAUGCUAAUACCUGAUAUUAUGAUUAUAAGGCAUCUUAGAAUUAUGAAAGCUAUAUGCGCUGUGAGAGAGCUUUGCGUCCCAUUAGCUAGUUGGAGAGGUAACGGCUCACCAAGGCGAUGAUGGGUAGCCGGCCUGAGAGGGUGAACGGCCACAAGGGGACUGAGACACGGCCCUUACUCCUACGGGAGGCAGCAGUGGGGAAUAUUGGACAAUGGACCAAGAGUCUGAUCCAGCAAUUCUGUGUGCACGAUGACGUUUUUCGGAAUGUAAAGUGCUUUCAGUUGGGAAGAAAAAAAUGACGGUACCAACAGAAGAAGUGACGGCUAAAUACGUG
rnacentral:rRNA from 1 species